UGUUCUCUGCGCGGCGACAUCAAAUCUAUUCGACGUCUAUCGUGUGCCCGAGUGCAGAUAACAAACCCCUCGCGGGCGCAAAUACACCCUGCCCUGUCGCACUCCGAAAAGUGAGCACGAAUGGGGUUUCACGGCACUCGGCGAAUACUCUUUCUGGUUCCGCACUUAGCAGAAGUUACACCGCCUUGCAAAAUCUUUGCAGAGUGAUUUGCACACUUGGUUAUCUCCGUCGCAAGCGGGAUCCGCGUGACCGAGAUAGGAAAACUGCAAUCUGUGUAAAAUCCAUUUUGGCACCGAAGAAGUCCGUCGAGUGUUUGCGUUCCUCGGUAUACUUUUCUCGGUCAGGCGGUUCGAAAUUAUCGUUGCCGAUAGUGGAAGUGGUUCGGCGAGCGAGCAUGGUGUGAGCACGUGAGGACGUUGCAUUGCAUGCGGGACGGUGCGCCAAGCCUGCUCUCUGCGAGCCGUUUCCAGCGGAGGGCGUCGUCGCAGGCCGCCCAGUGUUCGCGUUCAUUGGCCGAGCCGAGCGGACUUUGCUCCUUUAUUACGCGCUCGCCAGCCUCGGCGCAGUGCGUUCUGUUGCUGAUCGGCGCAGCCAACAACGCGAGGUCGCGGUCUUAGCGAGCGAUGUCAUCCCUUGCAAUGGAGACUUUUCCUUAGUCGGCGCUAUUAUCCUAGGGCCGUUAUUGCCGUCUCGAGAUCCCUCGUGCACUGUUUUCAAUGACUAAUCUCUGAGAGAGGAUGUGGCAUCUGUUUGCGCUGGCUUCGUAUGCGUGGCCGACGCACAAAAGAGUUCGCACCUCUGGACGACGCAUGAUUUGGCGCAAUACUAGACAAUACGUUCUUGUUGGCAUUGAAUAUUUUUAGUUAAGCUGCGCUAAUACAAGAUUGUUCGCUGGACGAGUUGCGCGUCUCUGCAAGAUAAUUGCCUGCAUCUGCAAUUACCUGCAAUAAUCUGCAACUUGACAGUUUCGCACCGCCUCUCCAUGCUUCCUGUCAUGCAAGCUACGAAGUCAUACGGAGCGGUGAAUACGCGCUGGUAAUCGGGCGUACAUGUUAAACAUUUCGGCCAGCUUUGCUGCAGUUUCGCCGGUGUCGUAUAUAGACAGAAUCAAGCCUUGUUUGUAUUAGUUAAGAAAAAUGGCAUUCAAAUAUAUUCGCGUAACCACAGGGCCAAUAUGUCAUAAUAGUUGCUGUUUACUUCAAGACAUAUGCAAGCGGUGGCAACUACUAAAUGCCAACUAUAUACUAUAUAUGAUCCUAAACGAAAGACGGCGAACUUCCUGCAGUAUAGGCAAAUUUACUUCCACUUGUUCAACGCUACACAGAACAUGAUUAGAGUGGUUUUAGCAUAUUUUCUGUGCCGUUCAACCGGUACUGCUGCCGUCUUGUAGCUUUUCGAGUGCUCGCCGAUUCUCACCGCGCACGCAUCUGGCGUGCCUGACGCAACCAUAACCAGCACGCGCCCACCUGACAGGCGGCCGGGAUGGCGACGGUAUAGCGCAGAGAUAGAACGAUCUAGCGUGGACUGUGGCGUUAAAAUGUCUUGUGUCGUGUAAAUUGACCCCGAAUGUUUACGGGAUGCGUGUUCCUUGUAUAAAUGGUCUAUUUCUGCGCUGUUUGGAUGUGGAUCCUGUUGACGAAUAGACCCCCGGGCUCUGACCGCGCCAGGCUGCAACUAUGAAUUGCAGGAUGCCGCGACCGGGCUUCGCGGAAAUUAAACUAAACUAUAUUUACGCUGUCAGUACAGAACCGCUGAAAAGCGCACCGCCGUGACUGCUGGAACGUUUUUACGUGACGAACGCAGUCACGUGGACGCCGUUGACACCGCGCUCAGGCCACUCGCCCCGCAACCCUCUCCUCACUGUCAUGUAUGCUUGCUGCUGAACCGUUCCGCUUUAUACUCGUUCUUUUGAUUGGCGCUCUAGAAUAACUAGCGCUUCGGGAGGGACGUUAUUUCCCUUCGAGCAUGGCGCGAGCGUUAAAUAUAAUCAGCUUCUGUUAGCUGACGGCGAAGGUGGCGAAAUCAUGUAGUAUGCCGAGUGCGGAACGCGAUAAACAGUUUAGACGGCAAUUUGUAGGAGCACACCCCGCGUCGAACAUUUUGAACCAAACAUUCACUCCAUGUUACAUUCGUAGCGCGAGUCUAUACAAGAUGCGCCUCGCGACGCGAGCAUUGUUACAUAAUAAUCAUGCGUGCGUGCCUUUCUGUCAUUAAGAACGUUAUUUACACGCAUACGAAAAACAACCACCGAGUCUUUCAAAAAAUUUUGAUUAUUGUUUGCACUUUGCUUUUUUUUUUCUUGUUUAAAAGUGUUCUAAUAGGCUUCGGGACGGUGAGAGUUCGCUGAAAGCUUCGCGGUAUAGCAUAUAUGGUGGCACGGUGAAGAGCGCGUGACUGGCUUUCACCGCUCACGUUCGCUCGUCAACACCGGUGCGUCAUAUAACUGACACGAUGCCGAAGACGUGGCGACGAAACUGCAGACACGAACUUCUCUGGCGCU